rnacentral:rRNA from 1 species
CGGCAACAGCUCAAAUUUGAAAUCUGGCCCCUCGGGCCCGAGUUGUAAUUUGUAGAGGAUGCUUUUGGCAAGGUGCCGCCCGAGUUCCCUGGAACGGGACGCCACAGAGGGUGAGAGCCCCGUCUGGCUGGCCGCCGAGCCUCUGUAAAGCUCCUUCGAC